UGGCUCAGAUUGAACGCUGGCGGCAUGCUUUACACAUGCAAGUCGAACGGCAGCGCGGGGCAACCUGGCGGCGAGUGGCGAACGGGUGAGUAAUAUAUCGGAACGUACCCAGAAGUGGGGGAUAACGUAGCGAAAGUUACGCUAAUACCGCAUACGAUCUACGGAUGAAAGUGGGGGACCUUCGGGCCUCAUGCUUUUGGAGCGGCCGAUAUCUGAUUAGCUAGUUGGUGAGGUAAAGGCUCACCAAGGCGACGAUCAGUAGCUGGUCUGAGAGGACGACCAGCCACACUGGGACUGAGACACGGCCCAGACUCCUACGGGAGGCAGCAGUGGGGAAUUUUGGACAAUGGGCGCAAGCCUGAUCCAGCAAUGCCGCGUGAGUGAAGAAGGCCUUCGGGUUGUAAAGCUCUUUUGUCAGGGAAGAAACGGCUGAGGAUAAUACCUUUGGCUAAUGAC
rnacentral:rRNA from 1 species